rnacentral:rRNA from 1 species
AUACGGGGGGAGCAAGCGUUUUCCGGAAUUACUAGGCGUAAAGGGCAAGUAGGCGGAGAUAUAAGUCAGGUGUUAAAUGCAUCGGCUCAACCGAUGUUGUGCAUUUGAUACUGUAUUUCUAGAGUGGGGUAGGAGAAGAUGGAAUUCCUGGUGUAGCGGUGGAAUGCGCAGAUAUCAGGAGGAACACCAGUGGCGAAGGCGAUCUUCUAUGCCUCAACUGACGCUAAAUUGCGAAGGUGUGGGUAUCAAACAGGAUUAGAAACCCCAGUAGUCC